rnacentral:misc_RNA from 1 species
UGGCAUAACAGAGAUUAAUGGCUAGGGAACACCAAAGGAUCGCACAACCUUGGGGCACGUUAGAGGAGCUAUUGCUAGCAUGUGCCGUGAACCGCCACGGUACCCAGAGCUGGGACUCCGUCGCUGUUGAAGUACAGAACCGAACCACCACUCUCUCCUCCCUCACUUCUCAACACUGUAUAGACAAGUUCAACGACCUUAAACGCCGGUUCAUGCCCUCAAACGACACAUCUGCCAGCCUCGUUUCCAUGGUCGAUGAACUCCGUAGGAUUCGCGUGGAGGAGCUUCGACGCGAGGUCCAACGACGUGAUGUGUCGAUCGUGUCGCUUGAAUUAAAGGUAAAGAGAUUAGAGGACGAGAGAGAGCGCAGUUUGAGAGAAGAGGCAGAUCUGGCGAGGGAGAAAGGGACCUCUCCGGAACUAAUCGUCGGGAAAUCCGCCCACGGUAACGAGUCUGGUGAUGAGCGAGAUAAUCGAUCUUUCAACGAGUCAAACUCCACCAGUCAACAAAAAGCUGAAAGGACAACGAUGAUAGAUCAAAACGACGCCGUAAAUGGAGAGCCUGAUAUAAAACCCAAACCAGCAAAUACAAAUGAGAAGAAUCCGGUUCAUACUGGAUCCGACCCAGAGGCUGAGAGGGAUUGGUCCCACAACGGUAAGUUGCGCGAGGUUGAUGAUGACGAAAAUGAUAAAAUACCGACGGAUAAAAAGGAACCUGAAAUAAAAACGAGUCAGACGACGGGUGGGCUCGGCGAGUCGAAUGAGCUGGGCGAGUCGGUGGGAGAGUCUAAGCGGGAAGAUAAAGAGAAGNNNNNNNNNNCAAAGCUCAGCUAGCUUGUCACUGAAGAGGAAUAAUCGACGUCGUAAGUUGAUUACUGGCGGUGGAAACGGGGUUGGAGUUGGUAGCAGUAGUGGAGAGGAGCCCGAAGGUGGUGACGAGGUUUCUCCCGCCAUGAAGCGGAUGCCUGCCGUCAAAUCUGAGCCGUUAGUUAAACUCCUAGGGAUCAUUCGGUCUCAUCGGCUUGGCUCUGUGUUCGAGCGGCGGCUUCAAAGUCAGGAAUCUAAAAGGUAUAAAAAAUUGAUCAAGCAGCAUAUAGAUCUUCAAAUGAUUCAAUGUAGGCUUGAUGGAGGGGCUUACUCUCUAUGUCUUCAAAAAUUUUUCAGAGAUCUUCUCCUUUUAUUCAACAAUGCUAUUACUUUCUUUGGAAAAAAUUCACCAGAAAAUCUUGCUGCUCGUGACCUCCUAACUAUAGUUCGAAAGGAAAUGACGGAGAAGCUUUGUGAAGCAAAACCUGAACCUGUCACCGUGAAACCUAUACCCGUACAACAACCCAUUUCGUUUUCAAAGCCCAACAAAUCUUGUACCAUCGUUGUGUGUGGCACUUUCAGAUAUUCCUUUUGCUGAAUUUCUAAAAAGGUUGAUAAAAAAGAUAGGGAGGGUGAAAACAAAACAAAAGCAAAUGAGAAAAAGAUUGAAGGUUCCUUUGUUAGGAUUGAGGAGAAGGGCACAAGGAAGAAAAUGACAAAAGAGAGGUCGAUAUCCUGUCAUAGAAAUUCUAAUAACACCAAAAAAAAUGGAGAGAUAAAGCAUCAGUAUGGUGGCAAUGAGCUUAGUUCCCAUGAUGCUUUGGAGAUGAAGGUGGAAAGAAAAGGAAGUAGCACAAGGAAGAGGCAAGGAGCAGCUAGCUUUUUGAAAAGAAUAAAGCAAAAUUCACCGAGUCAAGUUAUGGAGAAUGAUGUUGAAGAUGAUUCCUCUGAGGAUGAGAGUAAAGAUGAGAAAGAAAAAGAGGAGAAAGGAAAAAGAGGAAGAAAUAGAGAUGGAAUUACAGAAAGAGUUACAAGGAGUUCUAGGGCUAGAGAAGAGAGUGGAAGUGCAAAGAGAAUUGGAAGGCCACCAAAGAAGCAGGCAAAAAGUACAGUGGAGUCGGGUGGUGGCAUAAGGAAGAAGAGAGGGAGAGAUAAUGGUGAUGCACGUGUAGAGGUUGGAGGUGGGAGGGCAAGGAAGAGGUCAAGGAGGUGAUGAUGAUUGCUGUAUGAUGUGAUUAUUGUUCGGAGUUAUAUAUAUGGAUUUUUUUUUUCAAAUGCUUAUAAGUUUAGAUUGUUACUAUUCAGUGAUAAAUGAGAG